rnacentral:rRNA from 1 species
UACGAAGGGGGCUAGCGUUGCUCGGAAUCACUGGGCGUAAAGCGCACGUAGGCGGAUUGUUAAGUCUGCCGUGAAAACCUGGGGCUCAACCCUGGGCGUGCGGUGGAUACUGCCGGGCUAGAGGGUGGUAGAGGCGAGUGGAAUUCCCGGUGUAGCGGUGAAAUGCGCAGAUAUCGGGAGGAACACCAGUAGCGAAGGCGGCUCGCUGGGCCAUUCCUGACGCUGAGACGCGAAAGCGUGGGGAGCAAACAGG